AUUGAACGCUGGCGGAAUGCUUUACACAUGCAAGUCGAACGGUAGAGGGGGCAACCCCUCGAGAGUGGCGAACGGGUGAGUAAUAUAUCGGAACGUGCCCAGUCGUGGGGGAUAACGUAGCGAAAGUUACGCUAAUACCGCAUACGAUCUAAGGAUGAAAGCGGGGGAUCGCAAGACCUCGCGCGAUUGGAGCGGCCGAUAUCAGAUUAGGUAGUUGGUGGGGUAAAGGCUCACCAAGCCAACGAUCUGUAGCUGGUCUGAGAGGACGACCAGCCACACUGGAACUGAGACACGGUCCAGACUCCUACGGGAGGCAGCAGUGGGGAAUUUUGGACAAUGGACGCAAGCCUGAUCCAGCCAUUCCGCGUGCAGGAUGAAGGCCCUCGGGUUGUAAACUGCUUUUGUACGGAACGAAAAGGUCUCUCUUAAUACGGGGGACUCAUGACGGUACCGUAAGAAUAAGCACCGGCUAACUACGUGCCAGCCGCCGCGGUAA
rnacentral:rRNA from 1 species